GAUGAACGCUGGCGGCGUGCCUAAUACAUGCAAGUCGAGCGAACAGACGAGGAGCUUUCUCUUCUGACGUUAGCGGCGGACGGGUGAGUAACACGUGGAUAACCUACCUAUAAGACUGGGAUAACUUCGGGGAACCGGAGCUAAUACCGGAUAAUAUAUUGAACCGCAUGGUUCAAGAGUGAAAGACGGUUUUGCUGACACUUAUAGAGGGAUCCGCGCCGCAUUGGCUAGUUGGUAAGGUAACGGCUUAACAAGGCAACGAUGCGUAGCCGACCUGAGAGGGUGAUCAGCCACACUGGAACUGAGACACGGUCCAGACUCCUACGGGAGGCAGCAGUAGGGAAUCUUCCGCAAUGGGCGAAAGCCUGACGGAGCAACGCCGCGUGAGUGAUGAAGGUCUUCGGAUCGUAAAACUCUGUUGUUAGGGAAGAAGAAAAGUGUAAGUAACUGUGCACGUCUUGACGGUACCUAAUCAGAAAGCCACGGCUAACUACGUG
rnacentral:rRNA from 1 species